rnacentral:tRNA from 1 species
GCUGAUGUGGCAGAAAUUGCGAAGGAGUUAAGUUCCUUAUAUGAGUGUUUAUCUCUAUUAGUG